GGUUAGAAAUUAGAAUUCAUCUUCUGUCAAAAAUAAAAAUAAACACUUUCAGGAUUUUUUACAUAUUCUAUACUAAAAUUUUUCCAAUUUUUAGUGCUCAACGAUAAGGAAUCUUUUCAUUCCUUUCCUAUUUAUCUCUAUUCAUAAAACGUGAUCAUUUUGGGACUACUUAAAUGUCUACUGAAGAAAGACAACCCUUGCAAAGAACUGAAGAAUUGUUGGGUUCAGAAGGGAUUUUUGUUUGGAGUGCUCUACAAGAAUCAUUAGAAAAUCAAGCUUUGAACGAGCUUAAUGAAUUUGUUAAAGAAACAUCCAAAACUGUAGAGAACAAUUUUGAAGGAAAUGAACCCAAAUCAAAUGACACUACAAUUAUUGAAAAUUAUAUCAGAAAACAAGAAGAACUGAGAAAAAUACAAAUCGAAACAAAAAAAACAAAGACUGCCAAAUUCAAGCAAGAAUCGAGUUUACAGAAUAAUUCGUAUACAAGAAAAAAAAGAAAAAUUUCAGACUGCAAAGAAACAAGAAACAAAAAAGCUAGAUUACCUGCUGGAAAGGACAAUAUCAAACAAUCUACAGUAGAAAAUGAUAGUUCUUGUAGUGAAUAUAUACCAUCAGAGGAAGAUUCAGAUUAUGCAUGUGAUUUUGACAUUAGAGCUCAUAAGUCUGUGAAAAAACACAGAAAUCAACAAAUCAAUAAAAUUGAAAUAAUUAAAGAUGAUGGAUUAUUAGAGGACUAUAAUAAUAGACUGGAUCUUUAUUAUGAACAUUUACAAAAGGAAAAUGAGUUGAAAAGUAUCACAAACUCAGAAAAGAUUUUAUCUGAUGUUAAAUUAGAAUGUGGGUUGAAGGUUCCCGAAAGAUAUUGGAACAAAUUAUAUAAGUAUCAACAAGUAGGAGUUAAAUGGUUGUGGUCACUGCAUCAGAAAUCCUCAGGAGGAUUGCUUGGGGACGAAAUGGGGUUGGGAAAAACAGUUCAAAUUAUUUCAUUUUUGUAUGCAUUGGAUUAUAGUCGCAUUCAUACACCCUUCGGAAACUUUGUUGGUAAAGGACCAACAAUAAUUGUUUGUCCGGCAACUGUAAUACAUCAAUGGGUUCAACAUUUUCAUCAGUGGGCACCUGAAUUUAGAGUGGCUGUUUUACAUCAGUCUGGUAGAUUCCAAGGUAACAAAGCUGUUCUCAUAAAAGACGUAAAUGAAAGUAAUGGAAUUCUUGUUACGACAUAUUUGGGAAUACUGAAAUAUAAAGGAAAUCUGGUGGAUCAUCAUUGGCACUAUCUUGUAUUAGAUGAGGGGCAUAAAAUUAGAAAUGCAACAGCGAAAAUAACUGUAGCUGUCAAACAAAUAAAAACACCUCAUCGAAUUUUGUUGAGUGGUAGUCCCAUGCAAAAUAAUUUACAAGAAUUGUGGAGUCUUUUUGAUUUCACAAAUCCUGGAGUCCUGGGUACACUCAACACUUUCACAGAAUAUUUCAGUAAUCCCAUUAUACAAGGAGGUUUUGCAAAUGCAUCACCCAUGCAGGAAGCUACUGCCCUAUCAGUGGCAACUGCACUGAAAAACUUAAUAUCGCCAUUUCUAUUGAGAAGAAAUAAAGUUGAAGUGCAAGAUGAUAUUGAACUUCCCAACAAGAGUGAACAAGUUCUGUUUUGUUCUUUGAGUGAUCAUCAAAGGAUGCUCUAUAAAGAUUUUUUAAUGAGCGAGCAUAUAUCUGACAUUCUCGGCAGAGGAACAAAAAAUUGGAUCGGAGAUAAAUAUGCGAGAGCAAAAAUUUUUACUGCUAUUGUUUCUUUACGAAAAAUUUGCAAUCACCCUGAUAUAUUCAUCUAUGAUGGGGAGGAAUCAAGUGAUGAGACUCUCAUUGAUAAAGAGGAAAAUAAAAUAGGAUUCUAUAAAAAAUCAGGAAAAAUGAUUGUAGUGUCAGCUCUCCUAAAAAUAUGGAAGAAACAAAAACAUCGGGUACUAUUAUUUUCUCAAGGGAGAGCUAUGAUCAAAAUUUUUGAACAGUUCCUACAUGAGGAAGAUUAUAAGUUCUUGAAGAUGGAUGGUUCCACACCAAUCAGCUCAAGACAAAAAUUAAUAAAUAAGUUUAAUGAAGAUGAAACAUAUGAUGUCUUCCUAUUGACUACCAAAGUUGGUGGACUAGGUGUGAAUCUCACAGGUGCUAAUAGGGUUAUUAUUUAUGAUCCUGAUUGGAAUCCUGCUACAGAUACACAGGCAAGGGAAAGGGCAUGGAGAAUUGGCCAAAACAAACAGGUCACCAUAUACAGAUUGAUCUCAGCUGGUACCAUUGAAGAAAAAAUUUAUCAGCGUCAAAUUUGGAAGCAACUGCUAAGUAAUAAAAUAUUAGUAGAUCCCAAAACUCAUAGAGCGUUUAAGUCUUCUGAUUUAUUCGAUUUAUUUUCUUUACAAGAACCCAUGGGUGAUUCCAAUCCAGAAACAACGAAUAUUUUUCACGAUUCAAGGGUAAAAAUACAAGAAAGACUAUUGAAAAAAAGGAAAAAAGAACCACUGGAUAUGAGUAACAAAAUUGUUUUUUCUGAAGAUAAAAAAGAAAAAAUGCAAUUAUUGGCCCAACAGCUAGCAAAAAAUAUUACAAAACUUGAAGGCAAUAGAACUUCAUAUGAGAAACAUUUGGAAGAGGAACGUUCUGAGAGGUUGAAAAAGAAAAAAGAACUACAGGAUUUUUCUGCACCCGAACUUCUUGAGCUUAAUCGUAAAAAAGGCGAGGCAACAGUUGAUGAUAAUACCAAUAAAAUAGAUGGUAGUGAAACAUCUUGUAGUUUUUCUAAAGCUUUGGAUAUUGCUGAAACUAAAGCUGAGCUCCUCCAUAAAUUGAUUGAUGGAAAACUAGAUAUUAAAGUACUGGAGGAUAAAUUGAAUAGGGAAAAAAAAGAAAGGGAAAAGAAUGCAAGUGUAAUAAAAAAACAAAAAAAUGAAGUGGAAGGCAGAAAGAAGGGUGAAAAGAAAAAAUUAAUAAUAGAUGAAAGUGGUAAAAUUGAUGGGGAAACGGUAGAAGGAUUAGUGAAAGUUGAGAAAAAAAAAUUGAAACGGAAUGAUGCAAACCGAGAUAUAAAAGAAGACGACUUCAUACUCAGCAAAUUGUUUAAUAAGAAAGCACGGAAGAGUAUGCCGAUAUCAUAUUGAUUUAUGGUUAUGCAAAAGAAACGCAUGCGCGUCAGAGCGAGAAUAUCAAGAAAGAUAAACACUUCGUCAUACACCGCAAGACAAAGUUUUCAGAGAAGGUUUUUGAGGAUUACGAGUAGCAGGUAAUCCUGCUCCAGCAAAAGCUAUUCGGCCACAUGUAAUAAAUGUAGAGCAGAAAGAAGCUGUUAUUUAUUCUGUUACUGUCGAUCCUUUCACUAGUACUAGGAGAAUAGCAUACAUUUUGGAUGAGUAUCUGGAGCCUUAGAACACGAUUCAGUUAUGAAGGGACAUGUUAGGAAGAAUAACUUGAGAAUUUCCAUGACAGCUAAUUUGGAAGCUGAAAAAGCCAUUCAGGCUAUCACAAAA